CCGCUGUUUUCGUAGUUUUUGUACGUGGCUUACACAUGCAAGUCGAGGGGCAGCAUGAUCUUAGCUUGCUAAGGUUGAUGGCGACCGGCGCACGGGUGCGUAACGCGUAUGUAACUUGCCUUACAGAGGGGGAUAACCCGUUGAAAGACGGACUAAAACCGCAUACACUUGUAUUAUUGCAUGAUAUUACAAGGAAAUAUUUAUAGCUGUAAGAUAGGCAUGCGUCCCAUUAGCUUGUUGGUGAGGUAACGGCUCACCAAGGCGACGAUGGGUAGGGGAACUGAGAGGUUUAUCCCCCACACUGGUACUGAGACACGGACCAGACUCCUACGGGAGGCAGCAGUGAGGAAUAUUGGUCAAUGGGCGAGAGCCUGAACCAGCCAAGCCGCGUGAAGGAAGACCGUCCUAAGGAUUGUAAACUUCUUUUAUACGGGAAUAACGGGCGAUACGAGUAUUGCAUUGAAUGUACCGUAAGAAUAAGCAUCGGCUAACUCCGUGCCAGCAGCCGCGGUAAUACGGAGGAUGCGAGCGUUAUCCGGAUUUAUUGGGUUUAAAGGGUGCGUAGGUUGUUCGGUAAGUCAGCGGUGAAACCUGAGCGCUCAACGUUCAGCCUGCCGUUGAAACUGCCGGGCUUGAGUUCAGUGGCGGCAGGCGGAAUUCGUGGUGUAGCGGUGAAAUGCAUAGAUAUCACGAGGAACUCCGAUUGCGAAGGCAGCUUGCCAUACUGCGACUGACACUGAAGCACGAAGGCGUGGGUAUCAAACAGGAUUAGAUACCCUGGUAGUCCACGCAGUAAACGAUGAUUACUAGGAGUUUGCGAUAUACCGUCAAGCUUCCACAGCGAAAGCGUUAAGUAAUCCACCUGGGGAGUACGCCGGCAACGGUGAAACUCAAAGGAAUUGACGGGGGCCC
rnacentral:rRNA from 1 species